CGCACAUUGCGCCCUUUGGCAUUCCGAAGGGCAUGCCCGUUCGAGCGUCAUUUAAACCAAUCAAGCCUGGCUUGGUGUUGGGCAUCGGGGUCUCACCCGCGCCUCCAUUCCAUCGGCUGGACGGUUAGAAUCUCAGCGUUGUGCAAAUCAAUUCGCUAGAGAGGACGACCGGCCGCGCCGUCAAAACUCAUCAAAGGUUGACCUCGGAUCGGGUAGGGAUACCCGCUGAACUUAA
rnacentral:misc_RNA from 1 species